GAAUAUCGGGAAGGAACCCGAGGAACCGAGUCGAGGCUAAGGGACGACUCGCUUGAGAUAAGAGCAAGGAAAAAGCAGCAGAGUGAGCUGCUACUGAGUUGAAGAUCACAUCAAGCUUUUGUACGGGUAUUAUUUUAUACCCUUGUAGAUAAUUUUGAUGUAAAUAUGGAAAUGUUGUAUGUAUCAAUGUAGUUGAGCAGUUGUAAAUAAAUUGUAAUAAUAUUUUUUGGAUUUUCUUCUGUAAAUUUAAUAUUUGUAUUUA